rnacentral:rRNA from 1 species
AGAGUUUGAUCCUGGCUCAGGAUGAACGCUGGCGGCGUGCCUAAUACAUGCAAGUCGAGCGAACGGACGAGAAGCUUGCUUCUCUGAUGUUAGCGGCGGACGGGUGAGUAACACGUGGAUAACCUACCUAUAAGGCUGGGAUAACUUCGGGAAACCGGAGCUAAUACCGGAUAAUAUUUCGAACCGCAUGGUUCAAAAGUGAAAGACGGUCUUGCUGUCACUUAUAGAUGGAUCCGCGCUGCAUUAGCUAGUUGGUAAGGUAACGGCUUACCAAGGCAACGAUGCAUAGCCGACCUGAGAGGGUGAUCGGCCACACUGGAACUGAGACACGGUCCAGACUCCUACGGGAGGCAGCAGUAGGGAAUCUUCCGCAAUGGGCGAAAGCCUGACGGAGCAACGCCGCGUGAGUGAUGAAGGUCUUCGGAUCGUAAAACUCUGUUAUUAGGGAAGAACAUAUGUGUAAGUAACUGUGCACAUCUUGACGGUACCUAAUCAGAAAGCCACGGCUAACUACGUGCCAGCAGCCGCGGUAAUACGUAGGUGGCAAGCGUUAUCCGGAAUUAUUGGGCGUAAAGCGCGCGUAGGCGGUUUUUUAAGUCUGAUGUGAAAGCCCACGGCUCAACCGUGGAGGGUCAUUGGAAACUGGAAAACUUGAGUGCAGAAGAGGAAAGUGGAAUUCCAUGUGUAGCGGUGAAAUGCGCAGAGAUAUGGAGGAACACCAGUGGCGAAGGCGACUUUCUGGUCUGUAACUGACGCUGAUGUGCGAAAGCGUGGGGAUCAAACAGGAUUAGAUACCCUGGUAGUCCACGCCGUAAACGAUGAGUGCUAAGUGUUAGGGGGUUUCCGCCCCUUAGUGCUGCAGCUAACGCAUUAAGCACUCCGCCUGGGGAGUACGACCGCAAGGUUGAAACUCAAAGGAAUUGACGGGGACCCGCACAAGCGGUGGAGCAUGUGGUUUAAUUCGAAGCAACGCGAAGAACCUUACCAAAUCUUGACAUCCUUUGACAACUCUAGAGAUAGAGCCUUCCCCUUCGGGGGACAAAGUGACAGGUGGUGCAUGGUUGUCGUCAGCUCGUGUCGUGAGAUGUUGGGUUAAGUCCCGCAACGAGCGCAACCCUUAAGCUUAGUUGCCAUCAUUAAGUUGGGCACUCUAAGUUGACUGCCGGUGACAAACCGGAGGAAGGUGGGGAUGACGUCAAAUCAUCAUGCCCCUUAUGAUUUGGGCUACACACGUGCUACAAUGGACAAUACAAAGGGCAGCGAAACCGCGAGGUCAAGCAAAUCCCAUAAAGUUGUUCUCAGUUCGGAUUGUAGUCUGCAACUCGACUACAUGAAGCUGGAAUCGCUAGUAAUCGUAGAUCAGCAUGCUACGGUGAAUACGUUCCCGGGUCUUGUACACACCGCCCGUCACACCACGAGAGUUUGUAACACCCGAAGCCGGUGGAGUAACCUUUUAGGAGCUAGCCGUCGAAGGUGGGACAAAUGAUUGGGGUGAAGUCGUAACAAGGUAGCCGUAUCGGAAGGUGCGGCUGGAUCACCU